UACAGAGGGUGCGAGCGUUGUCCGGAAUCACUGGGCGUAAAGGGCGCGUAGGUGGCGCGACAAGUCAGUGGUGAAAGUUCGACGCUCAACGUCGAAUCGGCCACUGAUACUGUUGGGCUUGAGCACUGUAGAGGCUAAUGGAAUUCCGGGUGUAGCGGUGGAAUGCGUAGAGAUCCGGAAGAACACCGGUGGCGAAGGCGGCCUGCUGGGCUAUGGCUGACACUGAGGCGCGACAGCGUGGGGAGCAAACAGGG
rnacentral:rRNA from 1 species